rnacentral:rRNA from 1 species
GACGAACGCUGGCGGCGUGCUUAACACAUGCAAGUCGAACGGAAAGGCCCUGCUUUUGUGGGGUGCUCGAGUGGCGAACGGGUGAGUAACACGUGAGUAACCUGCCCUUGACUUUGGGAUAACUUCAGGAAACUGGGGCUAAUACCGGAUAGGAGCUCCUGCUGCAUGGUGGGGGUUGGAAAGUUUCGGCGGUUGGGGAUGGACUCGCGGCUUAUCAGCUUGUUGGUGGGGUAGUGGCUUACCAAGGCUUUGACGGGUAGCCGGCCUGAGAGGGUGACCGGCCACAUUGGGACCGAGAUACGGCCCAGCCUCCUCCGGCAGGCAGCAGUGGGGAAUAAUGCAGAAUGGGCGGAAGCCUGAUGCAGCAACGACGCGUGCGGGACGACGGCCUUCGGGUUGUAAACCGAUUUCGCCUGUGACGAAGCGUGAGGGACGGUACUGGGGAAAGAAGCACCGGCGAACUACUU